CGCCCUCUGCCUCUGCCCCUACCUCGGCCUCGACCACGGACAUCAUAAGAAUCUUGAUUAAAAUCAGAAGGAACAUAGGCUUGUUUUCCUUGCUGCAGUUGUUGAUUCUCUGCUCCUGACUGAUCAAAACGAGACGGAGCUUGGUAGCCAGGAGAGGUUUGAUUCAACUCAGCAGUUGACAAAGUAAUUGUUAUCAGCGAGACCUGACGAGUCAUCUCCAAGGGUUGUAGACCCUCUUCAAGGGGCUCAUAUGCAUCAGUUAUGGUAGUUGAGCUGAUAGAUGUAUCUUGAUGCAACCCAGGAAUUCUCUUCUUAAUAAUCUCUGCAAUGGCAACUGUUUUACUGAUAGCCUGUCCCAUUGCCUUCAAAACAAUUUCAUUUGUUCGUUGGUCCUGAAGAAGAGUGGUGGCAUAGCUAAUGUAAUUUCGAAUAAGACCUUGUGCAGUGACUCUGAUCUCAUUCUCCUUAAUGGGUUCCUCUGGCCUAGGUUUCUCCACCUUCUGGUACCUAUCCAUUUUCUUCUUUUCUCAACAAAAUCACUCUCACUCUCUCUACACCUUUUUUUCUUUAG
rnacentral:misc_RNA from 1 species